rnacentral:rRNA from 1 species
AUUGAACGCUGGCGGCAUGCCUUACACAUGCAAGUCGAACGGUAACAGGUCUUCGGAUGCUGACGAGUGGCGCACGGGUGAGUAAUACAUCGGAACGUGCCCGAUCGUGGGGGAUAACGAAGCGAAAGCUUUGCUAAUACCGCAUAAGAUCUACGGAUGAAAGCAGGGGACCGCAAGGCCUUGCGCGAACGGAGCGGCCGAUGGCAGAUUAGGUAGUUGGUGGGAUAAAAGCUUACCAAGCCGACGAUCUGUAGCUGGUCUGAGAGGACGACCAGCCACACUGGGACUGAGACCCGGCCCAGACUCCUACGGGAGGCAGCAGUGGGGAAUUUUGGACAAUGGGCGAAAGCCUGAUCCAGCCAUGCCGCGUGCAGGAUGAAGGCCUUCGGGUUGUAAAAUGCUUUUGUACGGAACGAAAAGACUCUGGUUAAUACCUGGGGUCCAUGACGGUACCGUAAGAAUAAGCACCGGCUAACUACGUG